rnacentral:ncRNA from 2 species
CCUAGCUUGACGGAGCGCGAGUAAUCCCUCGCUGAGAUUGUGUAGUUCUAAACAUGAGCACAAGUACCGUUGAACCUGAUCAGGUUAACACCUGCGUAGGAAUCAAGCGCUCCCUAAAA